GAUGAACGCUGGCGGCGUGCCUAAUACAUGCAAGUCGAGCGAAAGGGCGCUAAGCUUGCUUCUCUGAUGUUAGCGGAGGACGGGUGAGUAACACGUGGAUACCCUCCCUAUCAGACUGGUAUCACUUCGGGACACCGGAGCUAAUACCGGAUGAUCUCUUGAACCGCAUGGUUCGAAAGUGAAAUACGGUCUUGCUGUCACUUAUAGAUGCAUCCGCGCUGCAUUGGCUAGUUGGUAAGGUCACGGCUUACCAAGGCAACGAUGCAUAGCCGACCGGUGAGAGGGAUAGGCCACAUGGGAACGGAGACGCGGUCCUGACUCCUGAGGGAGGGAGCAGUAGGCAAUCGUCCGCAAUGGGCGAGAGCCUGACGGAGCAACGCGGAGUGAGUGAUGACGGUCUUCGGAUCGGAAAACUCUGUUAUGAGGUAAGAACAUAUGUGUAAGUAACUGUGCACAGCUUGACGGUAACUAAUCAGAAAGCCACGGCUAACUACGUG
rnacentral:rRNA from 1 species